rnacentral:rRNA from 1 species
UACGUAGGUGGCAAGCGUUGUCCGGAUUUACUGGGCGUAAAGAGCGCGCAGGCGGCUGGUCAAGUCCGAUGUGAAAUCUCCCGGCUCAACUGGGAAACUGCAUCGGAAACUGAUCGGCUUGAAGGUGGGAGAGGGUAGUGGAAUUCCCGGUGUAGUGGUGAAAUGCGUAGAGAUCGGGAGGAACACCUGUGGCGAAGGCGGCCCCCUGGGCCGGCCCUGACACUGAGACGCGAAGGCGUGGGGAGCGAACGGG